rnacentral:lncRNA from 1 species
AGCUACAACAAUGAGCAACAAAAAUUGAAAAGAGAGAGAAAACAACAAUAGAUGAGAAGAGAGAGAAAGAUGUUUUUUUCCCUCUGUUUUCCAUUAUAUUAGGUAAACAUUUAGAUCAAAGUGUAAAUUUAAAAACUUCUGGGCUAUUCUCAAACUUACCUAACUUUCUUAAUCCAUAAUAAAGUAAUUGUCACCUCUACUCAAUUAUUAAGACUUGU